rnacentral:lncRNA from 1 species
GGUGAAGUAAUUAAAUGGAGCAGUGUGUUACUAGCACCGUUUCGGCCUGGCAUGCACUUGAUGGUUUUGGACGUGAGGUGGUGUAGCCGUGUAGGGGGGCUUUGACGCUUUUGUGGUUGUGGUACAGUGCAGCACAGGCACAGCGAUGCCCAUGGCGUGCCUGGUGACGCAGUAAAUACAGAUACCGGUAGAAGCGUUGCCGAUUGCAGCGUGGUACGCAGAGGUGGGGGUCAAAAGAACAGGACAGCGCGAGC